rnacentral:piRNA from 1 species
UAAUUAUCAGGUGAUCAGUCA